rfam:Gossypium hirsutum cultivar TM-1 chromosome 20, whole genome shotgun sequence
UACCUGGUUGAUCCUUGCAGUAGUCAUAUGCUUGUCUCAAAGAUUAAGCCAUGCAUGUGUAAGUAUGAACAAAUUCAGACUGUGAAACUGCGAAUGGCUCAUUAAAUCAGUUAUAGUUUGUUUGAUGGUAUUUGCUACUCGGGAAACCGUAGUAAUUCUAGAGCUAAUACGUUCAACAAGCCCCGACUUCUGGAAGGGAUGCAUUUAUUAGAUAAAAGGUCGAAGCAGGCUUUGCCCGUUGCUCUGAUGAUUCAUGAUAACUCGACGGAUCGCACGGCCUUUGUGCCGGUGACGCAUCAUUCUAAUUUCUGCCCUAUCAACUUUCGAUGGUAGGAUAGUGGCCUACUAUGGUGGUGACGGGUGACGGAGAAUUUGGGUUCGAUUUCGGAGAGGGAGCCUGAGAAACGACUACCACAUCCACGGAAGGCAGCAGGCGUGCAAAUUACCCGAUCCUGACACUGGGAGGUAGUGACAAUAAAUAAAAAUACCGGGCUCUAUGAGUCUGGUAAUUGGAAUGAGUACAAUCUAAAUCCCUUAACGAAGAUCCAUUGGAAGGCAAGUCUAGUGCCAAUAGCUGCGGUAAUUCAGCUCCAAUAGCGUAUAUUUAAGUUGUUGCAGUUAAUAAGGUUGUAGUUGGACUGAAGGGGUGGGUCGGUCAGUUCGCCUCACGGUGAGCACCGGCCUGCUCAUCCCUACUACUGGUGAUACGCUCCUGACCUUAAUUGGUCGGGUCGUUCCUCCGACACUGUUACUUUGAAGAAAUUAGAGUGCUCAAAGCAGGCCUACGCUUGUAUACAUUAGCAUGGGAUAACAUCAUAGGAUUUCGGUCCUAUUAUGUUGGCCUUCGGGAUCGGAGUAAUGAUUAACAGGGACAGCCGGGGGCAUUCGUAUUUCAUAGUCAGAGGUGAAAUUCUUGGAUUUAUGAAAGACGAAAAACUACGAAAGCAUUUGCCAAGUAUGUUUUCUUUAAUCAAGAACGAAAGUUGGGGGCUCAAAGAUGAUCAGGUACCGUCCUAGUCUCAACCAUAAACGAUGCAGACCAGGGAUCGACGAAUGUUGCUUUUAGGACUCCGCCGGCACCUUAUGAGAAAUCAAAGUUUUUGGGUUCCGGGGGGAGUAUGGUCGCAAGGCUGAAACAUAAAGGAAUUGACGGAAGGGCACCACCAGGAGUGGAGCCUGCGGCUUAAUUUGACUCAACACGGGGAAACUUACCAGGUCCAGACAUAGUAAGGAUUGACAAACUGAGAGCUCUUUCUUGAUUCUAUGGGUGGUGGUGCAUGGCCGUUCUGAGUUGGUGGAGUGAUUUGUCUGGUUAAUUCCGUUAACGAACGAGACCUCAGCCUGCUAACUAGCUACACAGGUGAUCCUCCGUGGCUAGCUUCUUAGAGGGACUAUGGCCUUUUAGGCCAAGGAAGUUUGAGGCAAUAAUAGGUCUGUGAUGCCCUUAGAUGUUCUGGGCCGCACGCGCGAUACACUGAUGUAUUCAACGAGUAGCCCUGGCCGACAGGCCCGGGUAAUCUUUGAAAUUUCAUUGUGAUGGGGAUAGAUCAUUACAAUUGUUGGUCUUCAACGAAGAAUUCCUAGUAAGAGUGAGUUAUCAGCUCGCGUUGACUACGUCCCUGCCCUUUGUACACACCGCCCGUCGCUCCUACCGAUUGAAUGGACCGGUGAAGUGUUCGAAUCGCGGUACUGUGGGUGGUUCGCUGCCCUCGACAUCACAAGAAGUCCACUGAACCUUAUCAUUUAGAGGAAGGAGAAGUCGUAACAAGGUUUCCAUAGGUGAACCUGCGGAAGGAUCAUUG